CCCUUAGAUGUUCUGGGCUGCACGCGUGCUACAAUGGCGUUUCCAGCAAGUCUGCGAACCCGAGAGGGCCAGCGGAUCUUCGAAUUGGCGUCGUGAUCGGGACAGUCGAUUGCAAUUAUUUGACUCAAACGAGGAAUUCCUUGUAAUCGCGAUUCAUCAUAUCGCGCUGAAUACGUCCCUGCCCUUUGUACACACCGCCCGUCGCUCCUACCGAUUGAGCGAUCCGGUAAAUGUUUUGGAUUGGUGCCGGGGCGGCUAGCUGCCGGUCGCUACGAAAUUUUGUGAACCUUAUCGCUUAGAGGAAGGUGAAGUCGUAACA
rnacentral:rRNA from 1 species